CUUUUAAAACCUUGCCAUCCUAAAUUGAGUUAUCCGCCAUGAAGAGUGUUGGCGUUCGUCGUGUGUGCAAACCGCUCCUUCACAACUGGCCGGCCAGGCGGUUUGCCUUUGGCACGCAAUCAGUGAUGGGUCAAAACCCGGGUGAGCAGCGCCCUCGGCUGGACAGAGGGGAGAACUGCAUGCCAUUCGGAGUGAAGGUGAUAACCGAAACAGAUGGCAGGUGAAACCAUCAGACGUAAGGGGAGGCGGGCAGCGCGUUGUUUUCAUGGCGCGAUACUUGAAUUCGUAGCCUAGCGGAGUUUGACGUGAGCAUUCAUCAGAAGUAUCGUUUUAAGUACCAUUGAUUGAUUCGUCUGCCAUUUGUUCAUCAAAAUUGUGAAUUAAAAAAAAACCAUACAGUUGAAUGGCUGAU